GACGUAGGUGGCGAGCGUUGUUCGGAAUCACUGGGCAUAAAGCGCGCGUAGGCGGCUAGGUCAGUCAGGUGUGAAAGCCCCCGGCUCAACUGGGGAGGGUCACUCGAUGCUGAUCGACUCGAAGGCAGGAGAGGGAAGCGGAAUUCCCGGUGUAGUGGUGAAAUGCGUAGAUAUCGGGAGGAACACCAGUGGCGAAGGCGGCUUUCUGGCCUGCUCUUGACGCUGAGGCGCGAAAGCUAGGGUAGCAAACGGG
rnacentral:rRNA from 1 species